rnacentral:rRNA from 1 species
UUCCUGGAAACGGGGGGGUAAUCCCGGAUGUUCCAGUUGAUCGCAUGGUUUUCUGGGAAAGCUUUCGCGGUAUGGGAUGGGGUCGCGUCCUAUCAGCUUGACGGCGGGGUAACGGCCCACCGUGGCUUCGACGGGUAGCCGGCCUGAGAGGGCGACCGGCCACAUUGGGACUGAGAUACGGCCCAGACUCCUACGGGAGGCAGCAGUGGGGAAUAUUGCACAAUGGGCGCAAGCCUGAUGCAGCGACGCCGCGUGAGGGAUGGAGGCCUUCGGGUUGUAAACCUCUUUUAUCGGGGAGCAAGCGUGAGUGAGUUUACCCGUUGAAUAAGCACCGGCUAACUACGUGCCAGCAGCCGCGGUAAUACGUAGGGUGCAAGCGUUAUCCGGAAUUAUUGGGCGUAAAGGGCUCGUAGGCGGUUCGUCGCGUCCGGUGUGAAAGUCCAUCGCUUAACGGUGGAUCCGCGCCGGGUACGGGCGGGCUUGAGUGCGGUAGGGGAGACUGGAAUUCCCGGUGUAACGGUGGAAUGUGUAGAUAUCGGGAAGAACACCAAUGGCGAAGGCAGGUCUCUGGGCCGUUACUGACGCUGAGGAGCGAAAGCGUGGGGAGCGAACAGGAUUAGAUACCCUGGUAGUCCACGCCGUAAACGGUGGAUGCUGGAUGUGGGGCCCGUUCCACGGGUUCCGUGUCGGAGCUAACGCGUUAAGCAUCCCGCCUGGGGAGUACGGCCGCAAGGCUAAAACUCAAAGAAAUUGACGGGGGCCCGCACAAGCGGCGGAGCAUGCGGAUUAAUUCGAUGCAACGCGAAGAACCUUACCUGGGCUUGACAUGUUCCCGACGGCCGUAGAGAUACGGCUUCCCUUCGGGGCGGGUUCACAGGUGGUGCAUGGUCGUCGUCAGCUCGUGUCGUGAGAUGUUGGGUUAAGUCCCGCAACGAGCGCAACCCUCGCCCCGUGUUGCCAGCGGAUUGUGCCGGGAACUCACGGGGGACCGCCGGGGUUAACUCGGAGGAAGGUGGGGAUGACGUCAGAUCAUCAUGCCCCUUACGUCCAGGGCUUCACGCAUGCUACAAUGGCCGGUACAACGGGAUGCGACGCGGCGACGCGGAGCGGAUCCCUGAAAACCGGUCUCAGUUCGGAUCGCAGUCUGCAACUCGACUGCGGAAGGCGGAGUCGCUAGUAAUCGCGAAUCAGCAACGUCGCGUAUGCGCC